rnacentral:rRNA from 1 species
AUUGAACGCUGGCGGCAGGCCUAACACAUGCAAGUCGAGCGAGCGGCGGACGGGUGAGUAAUGUCUGGGAAACUGCCUGAUGGGGGGGGAUAAAUACUGGAAACGGUAGAUAAUACCGCAUACCAUCAGAUGUGCCCCGAUGGGAGUAGCUAGUGGGUGGGGGAACUGCUCCCCUAGGCGACGAUCCCUAUCUGGUCUGAGAGGAGGACCAGCCACACUGGAACGGAGACACGGUCCAGACCCCUACGGGAGGCAGCAGUGGGGAAUAUUGCACAAUGGGCGCAAGCCUGAUGCAGCCAUGCCGCGUGUGUGAAGAAGGCCUUCGGGUUGUAAAGCACUUUCAGCGGGGAGGCGUUACCCGCAGAAGAAGCACCGGCUAACUCCGUGCCAGCAGCCGCGGUAAUUC